rnacentral:rRNA from 1 species
UACGUAGGGGGCAAGCGUUGUCCGGAUUUAUUGGGCGUAAAGAGCGUGUAGGCGGCCUGAAAGGUCAGCUGUGAAAACUCGAGGCUCAACCUCGAGACGUCGGUUGAAACCAUCUGGCUAGAGUCCGGAAGAGGAGUGUGGAAUUCCCGGUGUAGCGGUGAAAUGCGCAGAUAUCGGGAGGAACACCGGGGGCGAAGGCGGGGCUCUGGGCAGUAACUGACGCUGAGGAGCGAAAGCGUGGGGAGCGAACAGG